rnacentral:rRNA from 1 species
GGGUGAGUAACACGUAUGCAACCUGCCCCUGUCAGGGGGACAACCCGCCGAAAGGCGGGCUAAACCCGCGUACAUGCCACCGGGGCAUCCCGGAGGCAGGAAAGGCUUCGGCCGGACAGGGAUGGGCAUGCGGCGCAUUAGGCAGUAGGCGGGGUAACGGCCCACCUAACCGACGAUGCGUAGGGGUUCUGAGAGGAAGGUCCCCCACACUGGUACUGAGACACGGACCAGACUCCUACGGGAGGCAGCAGUGAGGAAUAUUGGUCAAUGGUCGGGAGACUGAACCAGCCAAGCCGCGUGAGGGAUGAAGGUACAGAGUAUCGUAAACCUCUUUUGUCAGGGAACAAAGGCGGGGACGUGUCCCCGGAUGAGUGUACCUGAAGAAAAAGCAUCGGCUAACUCCGUGCCAGCAGCCGCGGUAAUACGGAGGAUGCGAGCGUUAUCCGGAUUUAUUGGGUUUAAAGGGUGCGCAGGCGGUCUGUUAAGUCAGCGGUCAAAGCCCGGGGCUCAACCCCGGUCCGCCGUUGAAACUGGCAGUCUCGAGUUGGAGAGAAGUAUGCGGAAUGCGCGGUGUAGCGGUGAAAUGCAUAGAUAUCGCGCAGAACUCCGAUUGCGAAGGCAGCAUGCCGGCUCCACACUGACGCUGAGGCACGAAAGCGUGGGUAUCGAACAGGAUUAGAUACCCUGGUAGUCCACGCAGUAA